rnacentral:lncRNA from 1 species
CCUUUCCACGAUCUAACUCUUCACGUCAUGCUGAUCCGCGAUUAUACGCUCUAAGAUAUCAAAGGACUUGAACCUACGGCAUCAGGUUCGUGAGACCCACGUUCUAACGAAAACCCGGUUGCCCACCUCUGUCGAAGGAAAAUGGCUGCUCGCACGAAAGCUUCCCUACACGACUUGUUUCUCUACGCCGAAGGUUGUCUUCUCGAUAAGGAAUACACUUCUAUAUAGGAUGUCCGACUUAUUGUUCCAGGCACGAGCUUUCAUCGACUUCCUACCAUCCCUGAGUGGGAUUCCCAGGCUUUCGCCUUCCUUUCAUUGAGGAAGGUUAAGAAAACCUACGGCAUCAGGUUCGUGAAACCCACGUUCUAACGAAAACCCGGUUGCCCACCUCUGUCGAAGGAAAAUGGAUGCUCGCACGAAAGCUUCCCUACACGACUUGUUUCUCUACGCUGAAGGUUGUCUUCUCGAUAAGGAAUACACUUCUAUAUAGGAUGUCCGACUUAUUGUUCCAGGCACGAGCUUUCAUCGACUUCCUACCAUCCCUGAGUGGGAUUCCCAGGCUUUCGCCUUCCUUUCAUUGAGGAAGGUUAAGAUUAUGUUUAUGGCCAUUAUAAUAUUAUAACAUCGUUUGCAAAGAGAAAGGGGCACGAUCUCGAACAAUGGUAUGGUGUUAUAAUUCUCAAUGAUACUAACUUCUGUAGGCCCCUUAUUUAGCUAAAAUAGGCUAGGUUUGGAACCCUUGUCGCAGCCCUCGAGAAGCUGGAAAAUACCUAUGUGGCACUCCUUGCUCGCGGGGCGGCAUACCUAAAAAAAGGUUUAGGAAUUCGGUUAGGGGUUAGCGGUGAUUCCUCAGAAGGAGUCCUAUAUUGUCAUAAAUUACAUUAUUCUUCAUAUUCAGGACUCGUUGUCCAAGAAAGCGAGGUCCUUUAUUAGAAUAGUAUGAAUCUCUUUUACGGUUGUAAGGGAAGAAAGAGCUGGGUUCUCGAGCCCGUAGUCCUUAACAAGCUCUUCCAUAAAGCUAUUUGUUCCUAUUUCCACCUUUGCCUUAGGAAACUCGGAGAUUCUUUCUUUUUCAAAGAGAUCCAGAUAUUUCGAAAUGUCAUUAAUGACAAAAGCCUCUUUCUCAUUAAUGACUGCCUCCCCUAACGAGCUCUAUCUACAAUGCAUAACUCAAGCCAGUAGCUCUAGUAAUCACCAAAUAGCGGAGGUACUCUUAACGAGAUCUAUCUACAAUGCAUAACUCAAGCCAGUAGCGUUAGUAAUCACCAAAUAGCGGAGGUACUCGGACAAGGAGUAUUGAAAUCCACUA